rnacentral:rRNA from 1 species
GCAAACUGCUCAGUAACACAUGAUCAACUUACCCUAUAGAGAAAAAUAACCUCGGGAAACUGAGGAUAAUAUUUCAUAGUUGAAUAGGCUUGGAAAAGUUUUUCAAUUAAAGGGAUAAAAAAAAUGGUUUUUAUCUGCUAUAGGAUAGGAUCGUGGACGAUUAUGGUUGUUGGUGAGGUAACGGCUCACCAAGCCGAUAAUCGAUAGGGGCCGUGAGAGCGGGAGCCCCGAGAUGGGUACUGAGACAACGACCCAGGCCUUACGAGGCGCAGCAGGCGCGGAACCUCCGCAAUACACGAAAGUGUGACGGGGUUACCCAAAGUGUUCAAUUCUGAACUGUGGUAGGUGAGUAAUGUUCCCUACUAGAAAGGAGAGGGCAAGGCUGGUGCCAGCCGCCGCGGUAAAACCAGCUCUUCAAGUGGUCGGGAUAAUUAUUGGGCUUAAAGUGUCCGUAGCCGGUUUAGUAAGUUCCUGGUAAAAUCGGGUAGCUUAACUAUCUGUAUGCUAGGAAUACUGCUAUACUAGAGGGCGGGAGAGGUCUGAGGUACUACAGGGGUAGGGGUGAAAUCUUAUAAUCCUUGUAGGACCACCAGUGGCGAAGGCGUCAGACUGGAACGCGCCUGACGGUGAGGGACGAAAGCCAGGGGAGCGAACCGGAUUAGAUACCCGGGUAGUCCUGGCCGUAAACGAUGCAUACUAGGUGAUGGUACGGCCAUGAGCCGUAUCAGUGCCGUAGGGAAACCGUUAAGUGUGCCGCCUGGGAAGUACGGUCGCAAGGCUAAAACUUAA